rnacentral:rRNA from 1 species
UUCCGGUUGAUCCCGCCGGACCCCACUGCUAUCGGGAUAGGACUAAGACAUGCUAGUCGUGUGCCUCAGCCAAAACGAGGCACGGCGCACAGCUCAGUAACACGUGGCUAACCUGCCCUUAGGACGAGAAUAACCCCGGGAAACUGGGGCUAAUGCUCGAUAGGUGAAGAACUCUGGAAUGAGUCUUCACUUAAAAGAGUCUGCGUUAUGCUCGUAGAUUUCGCUUAAGGAUGGGGCCGCGACCGAUCAGGUUGUUGGUGAGGUAAUGGCUCACCAAGCCUUUUACCGGUGCGGGCCGUGAGAGCGGGAGCCCGGAGAUGGGCACUGAGACAAGGGCCCAGGCCCUACGGGGCGCAGCAGUCGCGAAAACUUUGCAAUACACGAAAGUGUGACAGGGCUAUCCCGAGUGCCAUCCGCUGAGGAAGGCUUUUACCCAGUCUAGAAAGCUGGGGGAAUAAGGAGAGGGCAAGUCUGGUGUCAGCCGCCGCGGUAAUACCAGCUCUCCGAGUGGUGUGGAUGUUUAUUGGGCCUAAAGCAUCCGUAGCUGGCUAAGUUAGUCCCCUGUUAAAUCCAACGAAUUAAUCGUUGGAUCGCGGGGGAUACUGCUUGGCUAGGGGACGAGAGAGGCAGACGGUAUUUCCGGGGUAGGGGUGAAAUCCUAUAAUCCCGGGAAGACCACCAGUGGCGAAGGCUGUCUGCUAGAACGCGCCCGACGGUGAGGGAUGAAAGCUGGGGGAGCGAACCGGAUUAGAUACCCGGGUAGUCCCAGCUGUAAACGAUGCAGGCUAGGUGUUUGGACGGCCACGUGCCGUUCUAGUGCCGCAGGGAAGCUGUUAAGCCUGCCGCCUGGGGAGUACGAUCGCAAGAUUGAAACUUAAAGGAAUUGGCGGGGGAGCACCACAAGGGGUGAAGCUUGCGGUUUAAUUGGAUUCAACGCCGGG